GAUUAACGCUGGCGGCGUGCAUAACACAUGCAAGUCGAACGAUGAAACGUAGUAGAUUUUUUCCGAACGACACUAAUCGGCGUAUUGGUGAACGGGUGAUUAACGCGCGAUUAACCUGCCAUACACAAGGGGAUCGCCUUUUGACACGAAAAAUAAUACCCUACAAAACCAUAAAAGCACAUGCUAGAAUGGUCAAAGUGAUAACGGUGUAAGUUGGACUUGCUUCUGAUUAGCUAGUUGGUGGGAUAAACGCUCACCAAGGCCACGAUCAGUAGCCGGCUGGAGAGAGUGUACGGCAACAUUGGGACUGGGACACGGCCCAGACUCCCACGAGAGGGAGCAGUGGGGAAUUUUGAACAAUGGGGGAAACACUGAUGCAGCGACGCCGCGAGAUUUAGAAGGCCUGCGGGUUGUAAAAAUCUUUUGUAUAGGAAGAAAAUGACAGUACCAUACGAAUAAGGUACGGCUAAUUACGUG
rnacentral:rRNA from 1 species